AUUGAACGCUGGCGGCAUGCCUUACACAUGCAAGUCGAACGGCAGCACGGGAGCAAUCCUGGUGGCGAGUGGCGAACGGGUGAGUAAUAUAUCGGAACGUGCCCAGUCGUGGGGAUAACGCAGCGAAAGCUGUGCUAAUACCGCAUACGAUCUACGGAUGAAAGCGGGGGAUCGCAAGACCUCGCGCGAUUGGAGCGGCCGAUAUCAGAUUAGGUAGUUGGUGAGGUAAAGGCUCACCAAGCCGACGAUCUGUAGCUGGUCUGAGAGGACGACCAGCCACACUGGGACUGAGACACGGCCCCAGACUCCUACGGGAGGCAGCAGUGGGGGAAUUUUUGGACAAUGGGCGCAAGCCUGAUCCAGCAAUGCCGUGUGCAGGAUGAAGGCCUUCGGUGUUAAC
rnacentral:rRNA from 1 species